rnacentral:lncRNA from 1 species
GAUCGAUCCAAGUCUGAUGUGAAAUCUUAAUGGAAAAUUCUUUUCCAUUGUUUCACUUUGCCAUGGCCAUGGACUUAAGGACUCAAUCUUUCGAUCAUCAUAGGACUACUCCUCUUAUCUACCAAAGUUGAUAGAUCCCAUCUUGGUGUGAUCUGGUUCCUACAAUGAAUAUGCUACAGCCAACAUACACCUUAGAGUUUUGAAUGGCUAG